rnacentral:lncRNA from 1 species
GUGCUGUCAGCCUCACUGACCAUGCAUUUAUAAAACACCAGAGUGCGUGUGACGCUGCUGGGCACUGGAGACGGGACCAGGUGCUGCUGCACACGUAUGCACACGCCAUGCACACAUGCACACACACCACACAUGCAUGCAUACAGUGCACACAUGCACACACCAUGCAUACACGCCACACAGUGCACACGUGCACACACCGUGCACACACCAUGCACACACCAGUGCACACGUGCACACACCAUGCAUACACACCACACACAGUGCACACGUGCACACACCAUGCAUACACACCACACAGUGCACACGUGCACACACCAUGCAUACACCACACAGUGCACACGUGCACACACCAUGCAUACACACACAAUGCACACGUGCACACACCAUGCAUACACACCACACAGUGCACACGUGCACAUUACCAUGCAUACACAGUGCACACGUGCACACACCAUGCAUACACACCACACAGUGCACACGUGCACACACCAUGCAUACACCACGCAUGCACAAUGCAUGUGCACACCAUGCAUACACACCACACAUGCAUCCACACACAAUGCACAGAUGUGCACACCAUGCAUACACACCAUGCAUGCAGAAUCACACGUGCACACACCAUACAUACCCACCACGCAUGCACACACACAAUGCACAGGUGCACACACCAUGCAUACACACCACACAAUGCAAUCAUGCACACGUGCACACACCAUGCAUACACACCACACAAUGCAAUCAUGCACACGUGCACACACCAUGCAUACAUACCACACAUGCACACACGUGUGCAUAAAGACAUGAUUUCUUCCUGUGCUCUUUGAGAGCUUGUGGCUGUUGCCCAGGUGCCCUGGAGCUGCC